ACGGAGGGGGUUAGCGUUGUUCGGAAUUACUGGGCGUAAAGCGUACGUAGGCGGACUGUUAAGUUGGGGGUGAAAUCCCAGGGCUCAACCCUGGAACUGCCCUCAAUACUGGCAGUCUUGAGUUCGAGAGAGGUGAGUGGAACUCCGAGUGUAGAGGUGAAAUUCGUAGAUAUUCGGAAGAACACCAGUGGCGAAGGCGGCUCACUGGCUCGAUACUGACGCUGAGGUACGAAAGUGUGGGGAGCAAACAGG
rnacentral:rRNA from 1 species